UACGGAAGGGGCAAGCGUUGUUCGGAAUCAUUGGGCGUAAAGGGCGCGUAGGUGGUUCUGUAUGUCUACCGUGAAAGCGUACGGCUCAACUGUAUUUUGUCGGUAGAAACUGCAGGACUUGAGGCUGGGAGGGGCUGGUGGAAUUCCCUGUGUAGCGGUGAAAUGCGUAGAGCUCCGGAGGAACACCAGUGGCGAAGGCGGCUGGCUGGGCCGACCCUGACGCUGAGGCGCGAAAGCGUGGGGAGCGAACCGG
rnacentral:rRNA from 1 species